CCUACGGGAGGCAGCAGUGGGGGAUAUUGCACAAUGGGGGGAACCCUGAUGCAGCGACGCCGCGUGGGUGAAGAAGCGCCUCGGCGCGUAAAGCCCUGUCAGCAGGUAAGAAAAUGACGGUACCUGAAGAAGAAGCACCGGCUAACUACGUGCCAGCAGCCGCGGUAAUACGUAGGGGGCAAGCGUGAUCCGGAUUUACUGGGUGUAAAGGGGGCGCAGACGGCGAUGCAAGCCAGGAGUGAAAGCCCGGGGACCAACCCCGGGACUGCUCUUGGAACUGCGUGGCUGGAGUGCAGGAGGGGCAGGCGGAAUUCCUGGUGUAGCGGUGAAAUGCGUAGAUAUCAGGAGGAACACCGGUGGCGAAGGCGGCCUGCUGGACUGCAACUGACGUUGAGGCCCGAAAGCGUGGGGAGCAAACAGGAUUAGAUACCCCAGUAGUC
rnacentral:rRNA from 1 species